CCCUUAGAUGUUCUGGGCUGCACGCGCGCUACACUGAAGCUAUCAACACGUUUUCCCCCCCUGAGAAGGGCGGGUAACCUUUUGAAUCAGCUUCGUGGUAGGGAUCGGGGCUUGCAAUUGUUCCCCGUGAACCAGGAAUUCCUAGUAGACGCGAGUCAUAAGCUCGCAUCGAUUAAGUCCCUGCCCUUUGUACACACCGCCCGUCGCUACUACCGAUUGAACGUUUUAGUGAGGCAUUUGGACCGACGCAUCUCAGUUUAACCGCUGGUUUGUGUUGGAAAGACUUCCAAACUUGAGCGUUUAGAGGAAGUAAAAGUCAUAACA
rnacentral:rRNA from 1 species